UUAAAAUUUAGGGAAAACUUUAAAAACCUGUUUUGUGGUUUUACUUUUUCUCACUUUAGUAUUCUGUGGUUUAAACUGUAUCAAGUUAAUACUUGUGGUUUCGCACUUUUUUACUUUAGUACUCUGUAGUUUAAGGUGUAUCAAGUUAGUACCAUGUGGUUGCGGUUUUGCACUUUAUCAUUUUAGUAUCCUGUGGUUUCGCACUUUAUCACUUUAGUACCCUGUGAUUUAAAAACUAUAUGGUACUAACUUGAUACAAAAAUAAAACCACAUGGUACUAACUUGAAACAAAAAUAAAACAACAGAGUACUAACUUGAAGCAAAAAUAAACCACAGAUAUACACUUUAAACCACAGGGUACUAAAGUGAUAAAGUGAGAAACCACAGGAUACUAAUUUGAUAUACUUUAAACUAUAGGGUACCAAAAUAAAAAAAUAUAAAACCACACACACACACACACACAUAUAUAUAUAUAU
rnacentral:lncRNA from 1 species